UACGUAGGGGGGGCGAGCGUUAUCCGGAUUUUACUGGGGCGUAAAGCGCGUUAAGGCGGUUGGCAAAGUUGGUUUGUGAAAAUCUCAGGGGCUCAACCCCUGAAAAUUUGCGACCAAUACUGGUCGACUAGAGUGUGAGAGAGGAAGGUGGAAUUCCCGGUGUAGUAGUGAAAUGCGUAGAUAUCGGGAGGAACACCAGUGGCGAAGGCGGCCUUCUGGCUCAUAACUUGACGCUGUAGCGCG
rnacentral:rRNA from 1 species